UUUGGUUUCUUUUCUUUUCUUUUCUUUUCUUUUCGAGGGUUGUCAGUUGUUUAAAGUUGGCAUCUUGUUGAUAUUUUAUUAUUCUGUGGGGGCUUAACGUUUUGUUUUUGGGUCCUGCGGUUUCUGAAGUAAAUGGUUUUGUAGAAUGGUGUAACAGCUGCUUCUUUUUUGGUUCACUUUUUUUUUUUUUUUUUUGCUUUUCUCCUGUUUUUUAAGCUCGCUCUCUCUCUCUCUCUCUCUCUCUCUCUCUCUCUCUCUCUCCAAGGUUCGCUUGAUAUGGUUGGCGGUUUGAAGGAUUUGGGGGUGGAGCUCCUUGAAGUCCAAAUGAGGGCCUUGGAGGGGUAGAUAGAGCUGCUGGUUUAUGGAUUCCACUGUCCUAUUCCGUGAUCUUGCUGAUGAUAUGUAUUAUUAGCACUAGAAAUGGUGAUCAGGGAUGGAGAGAAAUGAUUGAUUGUUUGGGAUAGGCUUGUGGUUUGCAUAACCCAGGAGCUGCAUUAGCCCUGCCUGACCCUUGUUUGGAUUGAAGGGAGCUCUACACCUUCUCCUUGUUCUCCAGUCCCGCCUCUCUCUCGGGGGGAGGGGUUCGUGUGAGAAGGUGAUUCAUCCCUUGGUGGGCAACAUAUUAAGAUUUAUAUCCUUUUUACGAUAUUAAGGAGUAAAUCCGGUAUUUGAUUUUCCUUGUAUGAAGUCCUUAUUUAUGUGCAUGAUGUCUUGCCUGUUACUUCUGAUCUUAUUCUAGGUGAUUCGUGGUGCCUAUUUUUUUUGGCGUUUUCAUGUCUCUUAGAUUUCACUCGGUUGUUAUUGCAGCACUUGAUUUUUCGGAUUCGAUGUAGAAUUUUUGUAAUCCAUCUUUCCAUUCUGUUCUUGAUUUUAUUGGCCUUAUUCGAAACCCCCAAAAAAAAAAGAAAAAAAAAUACAAAUGGACGGCUAUUUUUACGGGGUUUGUUUCUUAGUCGUCCUCAGGUACAAGAUAGAGAAAUAAUACAUUCAGAAAAUAUAGUGCAAAGAUGGUGUUUCUUAGGUGCUAUCGUUACGCAGUACUGAAAGGAAUGUUUGUCAUGGUUCAUGUUCUCAACUUUUUACCAUCAAAACUCUUGCCAAAUUAGAUUGUCCAUUUAAUUUUUUAGGGGGCACACUAGUUAUAUUCUUAUCGGAUAGGUAGACAAAGGGAUCAAAUCUUUUUUUGUUCCAGAGCUUUUAAUAUAUGGUUAGAAUCUGUUGACAUCCAAAUCCAGCUUUAUGGCAACUAGUGGGGGUUGCUAUAAAGAAAGGUUCUGUUCACAACUGGCCUUUUUUUUUUUUAAAGUUAUGUUCACAACUAACUUGUGCUAGGAUGUGAAAACAGUAAUUUGGUUUGCAGGGAGGAUGUUGAAAGAUGGGGCUAUCUCACUUGCUUUUUGUAGGGGGAACCAGUGGUGAAGUCGCCGGCUUGCAGCCCUGCGGUGUGAUAUCAUGUCAGGUGGAAGACAGUACUGAUGUUUCAUUGCAUCAUUUUAUAUUUGAGCUUACCUCCAUGAGAUCUGAAUCAUUUCGAGGAAAUUUUCUUGCGGAUUGUUUCAUGUAUAAGAGCUAUUGAUGCUGUACCUGGAAGUAGCUCAUUGAUAACCCUAAUAGCAGCACAACCUGAUGUCUGAAAUCAGCACCAGCUUAUUAUAUAUAUAUAUAUAUAUAAUGGAUGUGGAUUUUAUGAUGAUGUGUAGUUUUGAGCUCUUCAGGGUUUGGAGAUGUUUCCAUGAUUUCGGUGGUGAGGCCGAAGAGCAAGCGAGAUAUUUGGAGAGAUGCUGGUUAAUUUUGCAUGGUCCUUACCUUCAUCUUACUGGUUUGCUCGCUAUAAUUGUAUGAACUCUGCUUGCCACUCUCACAAACUGGAUCUGUACCCAUUGUUAAGUUAAUAUUAUGGUAGGGGGUUGAUGCUA